CGGCAGGCUUAACACAUGCAAGUCGAGGGGUAACAGGAUUUAGUUUACUAGAUUGCUGACGACCGGCGCACGGGUGAGUAACGCGUAUACAAUUUGCCUUUUACUGGAGGAUAGCCAAGAGAAAUUUUGAUUAAUACUCCAUAGUAUUAUUUGACCACCUGGUCGAGUAAUUAAAGCUCCGGCGGUAAAAGAUGAGUAUGCGUUCUAUUAGCUAGAUGGUAAGGUAACGGCUUACCAUGGCGACGAUAGAUAGGGGUCCUGAGAGGGAGAUCCCCCACACUGGUACUGAGACACGGACCAGACUCCUACGGGAGGCAGCAGUGAGGAAUAUUGGGCAAUGGAGGCAACUCUGACCCAGCCAUGCCGCGUGCAGGAAGACGGCCCUAUGGGUUGUAAACUGCUUUUAUACAGGAAGAAACUUAUCCACGUGUGGAUAACUGACGGUACUGUAAGAAUAAGGACCGGCUAACUCCGUGCCAGCAGCCGCGGUAAUACGGAGGGUCCAAGCGUUAUCCGGAAUCAUUGGGUUUAAAGGGUCCGUAGGCGGGCAAUUAAGUCAGAGGUGAAAUCCCACAGCUCAACCGUGGAACUGCCUUUGAUACUGGUUGUCUUGAGUUAUAGUGAAGUAGAUAGAAUAUGUAGUGUAGCGGUGAAAUGCAUAGAUAUUACAUAGAAUACCGAUUGCGAAGGCAGUCUACUAACUGUACACCGACGCUAAUGGACGAAAGCGUGGGGAGCGAACAGGAUUAGAUACCCUGGUAGUCCACGCCGUAAACGAUGGUCACUAGUUGUUGGGGUCUUGUACCUCAGUGAUUAAGAGAAAUGAUA
rnacentral:rRNA from 1 species